rnacentral:rRNA from 1 species
GUGUCAGCAGCCGCGGUAACACGGGGGGAGCGAGCGUUGUUCGGAAUCACUGGGCGUAAAGGGCGUGUAGGCGGCUCGGUAAGUGGGAUGUGAAAUCCCCAGGCUCACCCUGGGAACGGCAUCCCAAACUGCUGGGCUUGAGUGCGGGAGAGGAUGGGGGAAUUCCUGGUGUAGCGGUGAAAUGCGUAGAUAUCAGGAGGAACACCGGUGGCGAAGGCGCCCAUCUGGCCCGUUACUGACGCUGAGGCGCGAAAGCUAGGGGAGCAAACGGGAUUAGAUACCCCCGUAGUCC